rnacentral:tRNA from 1 species
GCCUGGCUGGCUCAGUCAGUAGAGCAUGAGACUCUUGAUCAUGGAGUUGUGAGUUUGAGCCCCAUGUCAGGCG